GAUAAACGCUGGCGGCGUGCAUAACACAUGCAAGUCGAACGAUAAAGAUUAAAUGAUUUCUUCGGCAUGAACUUCAUUGGGUUAGUGGCGAACGGGUGAGUAACGCGUGAGUAACCUGCCUUGUACAAGGGGAUAGCCGUUGGAAACGACGAAUAAUACCCUAUGACAUCAAAUAAUCGCAUGAUACUUUGGUCAAGGAUUUAUCGGUAUCAGAUGGACUCGCGUCUGAUUAGGUUGUUGGUCGAGUAUAAGCCUACCAAGGCGACUAUCAGGAGCAGGCGGGUGAGCGGGCACGGCGACAUUGGGACUGAGCCCCGACCCCUACUCGUGCGAGCGGUAGCAGUGGUGAAUUUAUCACAAUAGGGGUAAUGCAGAUGCAGCGAGUGCGCGUUAUUGAGAAUGGGGUCGUGUUGUAAAAACCUUUUUGAUGAGACGAAAAUGACAGUACCAUACGAAUAAGCACCGGCUAACUACGUG
rnacentral:rRNA from 1 species